rnacentral:lncRNA from 1 species
UUAUUGCAAAGUGCUAUUAAUCCCAUUCCCACUGUCCUUCUGAUUCUUGUGUCACGCAGCUAUGAUUAACUGCAACGUAUAUGAACGCAUAUUCAAGCGUUUUGAUGAAGAUGGUGAUGGGAAACUCUCUCCUUCGGAGCUUCGACGCUGCGUGGGGACGAUAGGGGAGGAGCUGCUCAUGGAGUAGGCGCAGGAGGUGGUGGAGUCGAUGGACUCGGACGGAGAUGGGUUGCUGGGAUUGGAGGAAUUUGUGGGGUGGAUGGAGAGGGAGGGUGAAGAGAGAAAGAUGGAGGAGCUGAGAGAGGCUUUUGGGAUGUACGAGAUGGAAGGGAGUGGGUGUAUUACUGCAAAGAGCUUGAAGAGGAUGCUGAGCAGAUUGGGGGAGUCGAGAAGUGUGGAAGAGUGCUGUGUUAUGAUCAGGCAGUUUGAUGUAAAUUGCGAUGGGGUUCUUAGCUUUGAUGAAUUCAAGCUCAUGAUGCUAUGAUGCUUACAAUUCCUGAGUCUGAAAGUGAAGAUGAUAUUCUUUAUAAGUUGAACAAAAGAGUCUUUCUAUAAAUAGAUAUGAUACCCAUUUAUUUAUUUUUGCGAAGUUAACGAGUCUGUAUGCUUGCUAGGGAGGCUCUCUAUGAAGGGUGAUUGGAGAAGCUUGCCCCAUUCUGGAUUUUCUUAUUUGAAGGAACAUAUGAAUAGUUUAGGCUCUCUUUUCUUAUGAGGCAACAUGCAAUAAUGAUAGUAAACAAUAUUAUAUUUGUAAUGAUAAAAGUUGGGGUGGAGAAUGAAACCGAUCAUCAAAUAAUCAAAUGUAAAGGACCCAACUUGACUCCCUGGUCUCCCCCAAUAUGAGAAAUCAAAUCCCGCCCCCAGGAGGAGCUGGAAAUCCCACUUUUAACAUGAUAUCCGGUUGGUUUCCAAUGCCUUCACUCCAUUCCAAUUUUCGGUCAAUUUUAUAAUUUAUUGUUGAAGUACUUUAAUCAAUGUUUUCAGAACCGGACCGGUGAUCAAACCGAAAAAGUUAUCAGUUCACGGUUAUCAAAUUAAAUCAUAUUAAUAUUUUUAAUUUUAUUAAAUGAAAUAUAUAAAAUAUUUAAAUGUGAAUAUAUUAAAAAUGAAAAUUUAAACUAAUUUUAUAAUUUUUAAAAAUAUUAUAUUAUUUUUUUAAUAUUACAAAAAAAUUUAAAAUCCAAUAUAUAUUAUUUUGUUUGGCAUAUUUGAUAACGAAAAUUGUGUAGUUGAGUGGUGUUCUAGGAUGACUAUAGAAUCUGGGGUCAUGGUUCAAAUCUUCUUGGGUGAGACUUGCUAUUUUUUUUUUCAUUGAUUAGGUUGGUUAGCAAUCCCACAUCGAUUGUAAGAGAAAUGAUGAUGCAAAGGAUGCCUAUAAAAGCUAUGAGGGCCAAUGCUUUACCUCAUCUGGUGGGCUCAAGACUUAGCCCAUAAUAUGGUUGAGUGGGGUAUGGGCUUUGUCAUUAUGAGACAAGGCCUAGGGGCUUUUGCUGAAGCUUUUUAUACAAGGAUCCUUUAAAAUGGUGGUCCAAUUGGAACUGUUUGGUUUGAUUAGAACUGUUCGGUUCCAUUGGGUCAUUGGUUCGACCGUUGGUUUAGGCUGUUUGUGAUCGGUGCAAUUCUUAAAUGGUCCAAUAGAGCAAAUCGGAUUGGAAUUGCAAACGGUUGGAUCGGUCAGUCCAGUCCGAUUUUUAAAAUAUUGAUUUUAACCCUUUCAUCAAUAGCCUUUCACAUCAUCUUCUUUAAUAUGUUUGCAUCAAAGCUUCCGUCACAACACUAAUAUUUAAAAAUUAAAGAUCAGCUAAUCUUUUAUAACCAUAUUAAGAAAUUGAGACAUGACUUAUACCGUAUACUUUCUCUAGAAGUCAAGCCCAAACUUAUUUACUAAAAUUAAAUUAUUUAAUGUACGUUAUUACACCUCUAACCUUUUAUAACCAUCUCUAGAAGUUGAGAAAUGAUUUGUAUUCUAAAGUGUUUCUAGAUGUAGACAAUGAAAUUCUAUAAUAAAGUUUUCUCAUGUCAUUACAUGAUGACUUGCUAAUAAACUUUCUUUAGAAGUUGAGCAAUAACUUAUAGUAAAGUUUUUUAUUAUUAUUCUAUGUGCCUUCUUCCAACAUUUUAUAUUAGAAGGAUAAAUAUAAAAAAAAUUAAAGUUAAAGGAUAGUAAUUGUUUAAAAUAUGAUUAAUUAGAAAAAUAUGAAAAAUAAUUAAAAAUAAAAGGAUGAUAUAAAUUUAAAAUAGAAGAUAAAUUAAAAAAUGAGGAUAAAGAAAAAAAAAGGCAAAAUUUUCCAUAUUUUGUCUAUUGUCAAAUUUUUUUGACGAUUUUUAUGGCAUCGUUUCGGCGACCUCGGAUGUCCUAUGUUUCCUCGAAAUAUCUGUGAAAUUUCCCAAUUUUUCAAACCAUGUUUCCAAUGGACGUGUGCACGUAGAGGAAAAGGGCAAAGGACAAAAAGACUAUGAAUGGCGGCUUUUGAAUCUUUUGACCGUUGAAGACUGCAAUUCCACCUUAAAACUGGCAACUUCUCUCCUUCUUCCUUUCCUUAACAAAACCUGCAAAACACGCACUCCAUGACAAACCCAACACUCUCUUCUCUUUAUUCUCCCAGAGCUUCCUAGUAGAGUCUUCCCAGCAGCUCAAGUCCUUUCACGCGUCCCCACAAAACUAUAUGUACACACAAAGUGCUAUCACAUCUUCUCAUCUUCUCAUCUUAUUAUCAAGUGUUAUCCAAUUCCACAUUUGCGGUACUAACAUUCUUGUGUGGCCCGGUCAUGAUUAAUUGCAAUGUGUAUGAACGUCUUGUCAAGCGUUUUGAUGAAGAUGGUGAUGGGAAACUCUCUCCUUGGGAGCUUCAACGCUGCGUGGGGUCGAUAGGGGAGGAGCUGCUAAUGGAGGAGGCCCGAGAAGUGGUGGAGUCAAUUGACUAAGACGGAGAUGGGUUGGUGGGGUUGGAGGAAUUUGUGGGGUGGAUGGAGGGAGAGGAUGAAGGAGUUUAGAGAGGCCAUUGGGAUGUACGAGAUGGAUGGGGGUGGGUGUAUUACUCCAAAGAGCUUGAAGAGGAUGCUGAGCAGAUUGGGGGAGUCAAGAAGUGUGGAGGAGUUUUGAUGUAAACGGGGAUGGGGUUCUUAGCUUUGAUGAGUUCAAGCUCAUGAUGCUCUGAUGCUUCCAGAGUUGAACAAGAGUAACUUGUAAACCAAGAUUCUUUCUGUAUAAAAUAGAGGAAUAUAUUCAUUUAUUUUUUGCAAAGUUAGUGAGUCUAAUGCGCCAACAUUGCCAUAAUGAUAAUCAACAACAUUAUCUUUUCCUUAUGAAUGGCAUUAAUUUUAAAAGGGACAAUUGUGUUUUGGGCCGGCCAAAAAAUUAAGGUUUGGUCCAUGUAAUUAAAGUUUGGUCCAUAUAACUUAUAUAAUUGAUGGAAAGGAUAUAAGAUAUCAAAAAACCAAAAUACUCGUUGACAUUUUACAUAAAUUUUAUUGGUCUUUAUUGCACUGUUCAUGCAACCAUAAUAAUUCUAUUUUAAUCAUUUGGAUUUUUCAUUGUUUUAAAAAAAAAUUAUAAAUAAUUGAAAAUCAACAUUAUUUUCUAUUUUAAAUUAUAAAUAAAAAAAAUUACUUUCAAAAACUAUUUUAAAAAAUACUUUCUAAAAAAAUGGUAAUAUGAUUUAUAUUUUUUAAAUUUUCUUUUUGAAAAAACAUUUAAUUAAAAAAUGAAAACUAUUUUUAAAAAUAAAAAUUGAAAACCUUGUUUAAUACUAUUUUUUAUAUGAAAAUAAUAAUAAAUUUUAAAUUUCAUUCAUUGAUUCUCCAUUAAAUUUUAUAUGAAAUUUUUUUAUCCUUAUUUAUAAUAUGCUAUACGAAUCUUUGGUCAAUUUUUGGGUCCAACUUGACCAAAACAUAAUUCUCCUUUGGCCAAUUUUUGGGUCCAACUUGACCAAAACACAAUUCUCCCAUUUUAAAAACUAGCUGAGAGAGGAACUAAUCAUCAAACGGAUCAACGUACGAUGAAGGACCCAACUUGACUUUUAAUAUAUUAUAAGGUUUGGAUUCCUAUUAACCGGCUUAUAACUUUUCUACAUGCCUUUACGUAUCGUGUUCUAUGGGGUUUAUGUCUAGUCAAAUAUAUAUUUCUAGAAAAGCAUGGGUCUCAUACCAUCCCGGGACCUGUGGGUACGUCUGGUGCUAAUCAUGACCGAGGAGCCAAUUAGCUAGGUGGCCUGAAACCAACUCAGAAGUAGAGGAUCCUUCUAUCUAUACAUCACAUGUGGAGCUAUAUAUCCACGAGAUUAUGGAACGGAAAGGUUGAUCAUAUGAUUAUUCUAGAAUCCAUCAGAAUAUUACAAAUGAUGCAAUAUAUCAUAGAAAACGAAGGAAAAUCUUGUAAGAUACAAACAUAAAUGAUUUUUUUUAACCCAACAUCAAGUGCAUCCUCUCUCAAUUGAUCCAAAAAGAAAACAUAUAGGAACGAAAAAAAAGAAGCGAGAAUGUAAAUCUUAUCAAAAUGAAACUUAGACUUGAUUCUAUAGAAUUGAAACUAUUCAAAUUGUAGUGAAUUUAUGUUUAGGGUUAUAGUUUUAAGACAAAGUAAGAUGUUAAUAGGUGAUUAUGAGGAGACAAAGAAGUGUUUUUGAUGAAGGAAAUGAUAAAUGCAAAGUUUCAAAAAAGAGUGAUGGUUGUUGGGAGAAGAAGAACAAAUGGUGGAUUUGAGAGAGAGAGAGAGAGAGAGAGAGAGCAAUCGUUUUUCUUCUCUCCUCGUCUAAUUUUUGUUUUUAAAUUUCAAGGGUUUAAAUCCUAUUUAUUUGAGAGUAUUUUUGUUUGAGGUAGACAUCUUUCAUAUUUUAGAAGGAGGAAGGUUAUUUGUACAAGCAUGGAUAUCAAUGAAAACCUUUUAACCGAUAAAAGUAUAAAUUUAUUUUAUAUCUUUAAAAAUUAUUAUAAACAAUUUGAAAAUUUAACUUAGUAACAAAUUUUUUAUUCCUAAUUUUUUAAAAUAAUUUUUAUUUUUUCUCUUUAUUUUAUGUAGGUGCAUAUUUUCUUCACAUUUUCUCAGGAAAGAAACAUGGCCUAGGAUGCUGCUGAUACCAAAAAUCUUGUUAGACUGUGCCUGCCAAUUAGGCUAGCUUGCUUGAUUAUGAAGCUACUGAGAAGUAGUAUCUCAUUUGAAUUCUUGCGGGGAACCCCUAUUAGGCCAACGCUCACUUUGAAAAUUUUCUAUUAAUAUUAAUGAUGAAUUGAAGGUUAUUAAUUAUCAUUAUUUUCCAACAUUGAACUACAGGUCCUGUACAUGGAAUAAGGGAAGAGGAGUAAAAAAAAAAAGGGCAAAAUGAACUACAGUCUUUUUGACCGUGACCGUGAUAGAUUAAUGCAUUUCCAUCUCAGAACCUCGCAACUUCUGACUUUCUUCCUCCAUAAACCUGUCAAACACUCCAUCACACCAAACACGCCAUUCUUCUCAUACUCGAGGCUCCAGUCCAUUUACGCGUCCCAUAAAAAGCUGUAUAUAUACUAUCACUCACAGAUUGUUGUUCACAUGUUCUCAUCUUAUUGCAAAGUGUUAUCAAUCCCAUUCCCACUGUCCUUCUGAUUCUUGUGUCGCGCAGCUAUGAUUAACUGCAACAUAUAUGAACGCAUAUUCAAGCGUUUUGAUGAAGACGGUGACGGCAAACUCUCUCCUUCAGAGCUUCGACGCUGCGUGGGGACGAUAGGGGAGGAGCUGCUCAUGGAGGAGGCGCAGGAGGUGGUGGAGUCGGUGGACUCGAACGGAGAUGGGCUGCUGGGAUUGGAGGAAUUUGUGGGGUGGAUGGAGAGGGAGGGUGAAGAGAGAAAGAUGGAGGAGUUGAGAGAGGCUUUUAGGAUGUAUGAGAUGGAAGGGAGUGAGUGUAUUACUCCAAAGAGCUUGAAGAGGAUGCUGAGUAGAUUGGGGGAGUCGAGAAGUGUGGAAGACUGCAGUGUCAUGAUCAGACAGUUUGAUGUAAACGGCGAUGGCGUUCUUAGCUUUGAUGAAUUCAAGCUCAUGAUGCUGUGAUCGAUCGAUUCUUCCCGAGUCUGAAAGUGAAUAUGAUAUUCUUUAUAAGUUCAACAAAAGUAUAUUGUAAACCAAGAUUCUUUCUACAAAUAGAAUACGAUGCCCAUUUAUUCAUUUUAUGCGAAGUUAACGAGUCUCUAUGCUUGCUAGGGAGGCUCUCUAUGAAGGGUGAUUGGAGAACGUACCUUGCUCUAUUCUGGAUUUUCUUACUUCAAGGGAUCGUGCUCUAAAGGCUUUCUUUUCGGUCAACAAUAUGAUAUAUUAUUUUUUAUUUGAGAUGAAUUAGGCUAACAAUCCCCACUCAACCACAUAGAUAUUGUCAAUUUUGGGUCCAAAGGGACCUUACAGCUUUAAAACAUGUUUAUAAUGAAUCAAUAUUUACAUAAUAUUAGGAACUUUUCCCCCUAUCUGAUGUGGAAUGUCAUAAACACUUUUCAUGUAGACACAAUAUCCUUGUUAUAUCCUAAGGAAUUGCGAGGUUAAACAAAUAAACACCCUUAUAAGAGUAAACAAACCCUCAUACUAAGGUCGAAGAUCAGCUCUUUGUAAUGAUUUUCUCACAGCUGUAUAAAUAUUAUCCGCUUUUGACCAAAAGCGGAUAAUAUUAAUAUGAUUUGAUACAAAUCAUUACAAAUAGUAUUAAAGUUAAGGUUCAAAGCGGAAGAUAUCUAUAUAAUUAAGUGUGGAUUAUUAUAAUUAGAAUAUUGAUUGAUCCUAAACCAAAACGCCAAAAAAGAAAUCACCUUUUGUGAUGGUAAAAGUAGGGGCGGAGAAAGAACCAAUCAUCAAAUAAUCUAAUGUCUCUUGUGGAUUAAUUCGUGUUCACACCUUGUCAUAUAUUUUACCAUUAUCCCUAAAUAAUAAUUAAUAAGCUAAACUUUGGAUCAAAUUUUUUAGAUGAUUAAUCUAAAUGAAUCUCCCUACAGGAGAAUGCAAUAUAAAUCUUAUCACUACAAUAGAGAUAAAAAAAUCUCAUAAAACCUUGUAUAAAACACCCCUAAACAAUUUUGAAACAAAAAUAAUUGUGACUUAAAAAUAAUUAUAUUUAUUGACAGUGGAUUGUGACAAUUCAUGUACCCUUUUGGGUUCAUUGACCCUUGCAAGUUUGGAAAGAUGAAUUGUCUUCUAUGAGUAGAACUACUUGCACCUAAAAGGGAAACCAAUUACUAAAUGGCCCAAUACAUCACUCAAAAUUAGAAAUUCUUCUUUGGAAAAAAUAUUUAAUCAAAUGAAAAAGACUUCCAAAAGAGUAGAGCUUAUUGACAGUUGAGGAAAGCAUUGUGGCAAUACAUCACAACUAAUACAAAGGUUCCAUUGGAGGUAUCUAUUAUUUUGCUAUUAUCUAUAAUCUUGAAGGUUAUGUUUUGUUUGGUUCUUAAAAUAUUUGAAGGAAAAUAUGAGAGAAAGAAAAUAGAAGGAAAAAGUAGAAGGAAAUAAAAAUCAAAGAACAAUAAAAAUAGAUUUAAAGUCAAUAAAUUUUUUUAUAUAUUUCUUCAAAUUUAUUUGACCUAUUUUCCUACAUUAUACAAAGAUUAAAUAGUUUUAAAAUUCAUAAAUAUUUAACUAAUUAUAAUUUUUAUUUUCAUAUUUUUCAUUGUGAAAUUAAAUAUAAGAAAACCAUUUUUCUCAAAUUUUUUUUCUUCUGUUCUUAGUAUUUUUUGAAAACCAAACAUAGUUGAAGUGCAGAGAGGUACUUUGAGCAACUUUUGAAGUAGGCAGAGGUAUUUGGAGCAUCAUUGAGAUGCUUGGAGGAGUUGAAACAACUUUGAUUUGCUUGGCACAACUUAGAGAUAGUUAAAGAUGCUUGAGGAGCUUAUUCUAAUGUCAUAUUGCAAAGACAUAAAUGGGAUCCUUCAUAUGGAAAAAUUGGAGACUCUCUAACCUUUUAUAACCAUAUGGAGAAGUCGAGACAGAACUUAUAUUGUAAACCCCCGGUAGAAGUCGAGUACAAACUUAUUUGGUAAAUUACAACAGCAGAAGAAAAAGAACAAAAAAUAUGCACCUAACCCCUUCCCAUGUGAUCAAGAAAGUUGGAUGAGAUUUAUUUUCGUGAAUAUUAACAUUAAAAAAGUAUUCUUAUUUUAUAUAAAAUAUCACGUAAAAUUUUAUAAAACCUAUCCAAUUACUAAACAAAUCAAGGGUCUGUUCCAAAAAUAUAUAUAUAUUUUCCAUGGGUGGAAAUAUCUCAAAAUGGUAAUAAAAAAGCCACAUUUAAUUUACUAAUAUAAAAAAGUCCACACACGAUGAAUCUUUUCUACCUCGUGUCUUAGGCAGAUAGAAGGGAGUAGGAGACCAAAAAGACUAACUAGCUUUCUGUGGCGGUUGAGUGUUUUGACCGUUGUAGAUGUAAUUCUAUCUCAAUUUAAUCCAGGCAGCUUCUCACUUUCUUCCUCCAAAAAAUCCAUCAAUUACGCACUCCCUGACACCAUGAUCAAUACUUUCUUCUUCUCAUCUUCAACUUCAAGACUUCCAAGUUCCAAUCCUUUUACGCGUCUCAUAAAGCUAUAUAUAUAUAGACUCAAUUGUUAUUCACAACACUCCAAGAAUCCAAUUUCUUGCGAUAAGCAGCCAUGAUUAACUGCAGCAUAUAUGAACGCAUAUUCAAGCGCUUUGAUGAAGAUGGAGAUGGGAAACUCUCUCCUUCGGAGCUUCGACGCUGUGUGGAGACGAUAGGGGGAGGAGCUGCUGAUGGAGGAGGCGCAGGAGGUGGUGGAGUCGAUGGACUCAGACGGGGAUGGGUUGGUGGGGUUGGAGGAAUUUGUGGGGUGGAUGGAGAGAGAGGGCGAAGAGAGAAAGAUGGAGGAGUUGAGAGAGGCUUUUAGGAUGUAUGAGAUGGAAGGGAGUGAGUGUAUUACUCCAAAGAGCUUGAAGAGGAUGCUGAGUAGAUUGGGGGAGUCGAGAAGUGUGGAAGACUGCAGUGUUAUGAUCCGACAGUUUGAUGUAAAUGGGGAUGGGGUUCUGAGCUUUGAUGAGUUCAAGCUCAUGAUGCUUUAAUAUUGUUGGAUCAUCUUUUAUGUGAAUGUUGUAUUCUUUUUAGAUUUAAAAACAGUGGAUUGUAUUCAAGAUUCUUUCUAUACAUAGGAUUAUAUAUGAUUUUUUCUUUGUUUUUGAGUCAAUAAUGUUUAUGUUUUGUGAAUGAAUGAUUGUUUGGGGGCAAUCUUUAAGAGGAUGUUUGGAACUGUGAACCAAAUUUUGUAAGUCAUAUGAAAGGUCAGCUGGCUUUGCAUCCAGUACAGAUGGAACUUCAUGUGAAUGUUAAAAGUAAAUUACUUACAAAGUAAAGAGGAGUCAAAUUCAAUUUCUAGGAUGGUCAUUUUUUUUGUAAUAAAUAUAUAACAAAAUAAUUAUAAUCUUAAUAUAGCAUGAGCAUUAAUUAAAAUCAAUUUAAAUUAGAAAGUUAUCCUUUCCAUGGUUAGAACAGCUAAAACUCUAGGGUUUGGAACUAUUUUUAAUAAUGGUUUUCUGUUCUCUAGAGUAAAAAAAUUAUAGAAAAUCAAUCAAAAAUUAUUUUCUGUUCUCUGUUCGAACAAAAAUCAAGAUGUUUUCAAAAACCAUCUUUUAGUUGUUUUUUAUUGUUACAUUUGCUUUUUUUUUUUUUUGAAGGUUUUUUUAAGAAAUAAUUAUAUAAACAUAUAAAAUGAUUAAAAAUAAAAUACUAAAUGUAAAAAUUAUUUUUAAAAUUAUUAAAACAAGUUAAAAAUAUUUUUCAAAUAUUUUUAAUUACUCUAUUUGAAUGAAUCAACUUAACUUAUUUGAAAGAAUGAAUAAGUAAAAAUAAAUAAAAAUGUUGAUAAAAUAAAAUUAUAAGAGAUGAAAUUAUAUGGAGAAUAUGAUAUCUAUUCUUCCAUUUAAAGUAAAUAUAAUAUAUAUACAAAAUUCAAAUGAUUUAUAGAACAUAUAAUCACUUCACAAAAUAAAGUUUUAAAAUAUGUAAAAAUAAAAAGACCUAGCAUUGAAAGAAAAUUAAUAAAAGUAUUAAUUUAAAAAAAUUAAGCUUAAAAUAAUAAUAAUAAUAAUAAUAAUAAUAAUAAUGAAUUAGGCUUUCAAAAUUAUUUAGAUAAUAAAAUUAAGCAAAAGAAUUCAUAACUAAAGACUAAGGUGAUAUUUUUUUAAAAUUUUUGUUGAAAAUAAUUUGUUUUUGGAUUUAAUAUAAUUUUUUUAAUUUAUUAUUUAUUUCUAUUUUUUUUAUUGAAAUGAAAAAGUUAAAAUAUUUAACUUUUUUUUAAUGCUAAAAGUGCAUUAUCAUAAUUAAAGUAAUUUUUUUUUUUUUUACUUUUUAAUGCUUAAUAAAAAUAAUUAAAAAAACAAACAAUUUAAUACAUAACACUAUUAAACACCUUUUAGUUUUAAAUUCUAUUUAGAAUAAAGUCAAAAAAUUGAACACUACCUAACACUUUACGUGACAUCCCACAUCAGAUAUGGGGGGAAAGUUCUUGGUAUGGACUCAUCGUAAUCCUGUAAACACGUUUUAAAGUUGUGAGGGUCUCUUUAGGUCCAAAGCGGAUAAUAUUUACACGGUUGGGAGCAGACCAUUACAAACGAUAUCAAAACCGAUCCCUGACCUCGGUGUGAGGUUUGUUUGAGCUUAUAAGAGUAUUUGUUUGUUUAACCCCAUAAUCCCGUAAGACACAACGAAAACGUUGUGUCUGCAUGGGGGUGACUUUUAAAGUCGUGAGGUAUCUACACCAUAUAAAAUAAAUAAGUAGAAAUAUUAUUAGUGUAAUUGAAUUUUAUAUUUUGAAAUUAUAUUGAUAUUUAAAAAAAAUAGUUAAAUAAAAAUUAACUUCCGAUAUUGUAUUUUAAAAAAAAUGCACAACUCUUCCUACCUUUUUUUUUUAGUACAUCCAUAAAUCAAGUUAAAAGUUAGCGGGUUGAUUAAAAGUUAGCAAGUUGAUGUUUGAAAAUUCUAUCCACGUGAUAUUUGAUGUUAAAAGAAAUGGAACUUUAAUAUGUUUAAUAAUUUAAAUUAAGUGAUUAAAUUAUUAAAUUAAGUUAUCAAAUAUUUUUAAAAUUUUCUAAUGUGUUAAUUAUGAUAAAGAAAUUAUUUUUCCAUCUUAUGUAAAAAAAAUAUUUGAUAAUAUAUUAAAAAUAAAUGUAAUUGGGAAAAAGUUUAGAAGUUGUGUCAUUCAUCCAUGCUGAGGUGUAGGUGGCAGUGUGUAGAAGUAGAUAGGUUGUUUGAACUUUGAAACUAGUUCUGACGUUAGCUUGUUGUUCUACAGAAGACCACUAUUUUUUAUUUUAUUUUUUAUGUUUUAAUUUUGUAAACAUGUUUCUCGUUUGUCGCACCAUUCCCACCACAUGUCCAAGUGGAUUGAAAAAGCAAAAGGCCAGAACAAAGUAUUCGUCUACGAAGCGGUUUUGACCGUUGUACAGUCAAUAAUCUAGAACAUACGCAUUACGUGACGUCUCCAGCACUCGCUUCGCUUCAUUCUCCAGAACUUCCUAGUAAAGUCUCGAUUCUUCACUCUCAAAAUCUCUAUACCCAACAGCUCCAUCUACUCCUUUUACGCGUCCCCACAACAGCUAUAUAUAUGCACACACAAAGUGUUCAUCCUCACAUCUUCACAUCUUACUACAAAUUAAGUGUUAUUUACAUUAAUUUUCAUUAACAUCCUUGUGUUGCCACAUCCAUGAUUAACUGCGAUGUGUAUGAACGCAUUUUCAAGCGCUUCGAUGAAGAUGGUGAUGGGAAACUCUCUCCUUCGGAGCUCCGAUGCUGCUUGGGGACGAUAGGGGAGGAGCAGCCGAUGGAGGAGGCGCAGGAGGUGGUGGAGUCGAUGGACUCGGACGGAGAUGGGUUGCUGGGAUUGGAGGAAUUUGUGGGGUGGAUGGAGAGAGAGGGUGAAGAGAGAAAGAUGGAGGAUUUGAGAGAGGCCUUUAGGAUGUAUGAGAUGGAAGGGAGUGGGUGUAUUACUGCAAAGAGCUUGAAAAGGAUGCUGAGUAGAUUGGGGGAGUCAAGAAGUGUGGAAGAGUGCAGUGUUAUGAUCGGACAAUUUGAUGUAAAUGGGGAUGGGGUUCUGAGCUUUGAUGAGUUCAAGCGCAUGAUGCUUUAAUCUUGUUUAACAUCUUUUAUCUGAAUGUUGUAUUUUUUUUUUUAGAUUUAAGAAGAGUGGUUUGUAUUCAAAAAUUAAGAUUCUCCUCAUUGCUUUCCUCGUGCACAUGGUGAAGAAAAUACUCCCUAUUCUAUAUUUGAUUUUGCAUAAAAAUUCCUUUUACGGCAAAGAGCAAGUGUGAUAAAAUUUAAGUUGAUUUUUAAAUUAAAUUGUUAGUUCAAAUCAUUUUCUCUCUGUGUUUGUAAAAUACUCAUAUUAAAAAUAUUAUAAAAAUACAUAAUAUUAUUACAUAAAAUAAUAAUGAAAUAUAUAUCAUGGAAAAAAUGAAGUAUUAAAUUAUUUUAUAUUUUUAAAAAGUUAUUUAGUCUAAGUUAUUGUUUUGCAUUAUUUUAACUUUAAAUUAUAUAGAAUUAAUUUACCAAUAAGCCUAGACCCCAUUUGAAAUAGAGUUUAACUUUUGCCCUAAUAAUAAAUAAGUAGAAGUAUAAGUAUUAUUAGUGUAAUUGAAUUUUAUAUUUUGGAAUGAUAUCUAUCCCCGCAAAUUUAGGCAGUCUUGUAAAAUAAGUAAAACUAUUGAAAAAAUAUGAGAAUAAAAAUUUUGCAUUAAAAUAAUUAUCGGGGUGCACAAUCCAUAGGACGAUAAUGAAUUGGAGUUCAAGAUCAAUUAAGGACCUUUUUUUUUUUUUUUUAAGUGGGAAGUUGUUUUUCACAAUUUUAUCAUUGAAGGAAGUUAUCUGUAUUUGUAAGUGAAGUUAGAGAAUUAAAUUUGGAAUACCGAAGAUUUGAUUAUUUAAUUCAAGAAGUUUGGUUUCUUAAAGUUAACAACUUGUCUAAUUUAUUUAGGAAAUUAGUCAAUAAGAGAAUAUUUAUUUUCAAUUUUCUUUUGAUUUUGUCUUUUUUUAUUGAGGAAAUUUGUUAAUAAAAAAUAUAUAUUUUUAAUUCUCUCCUAAACUUUAAUGAUUUGAUUUAAUUUUAUUUUGUAAUACUUCUAAAUUUCAUGAGGUGUCACAUUUGAAUAGUCAUAGAAGUGCCUUCACAAAUGUAAAUAUAAUUACAUUUGAUCUCAUUGUAACCAUAUCGAGAAGUCGAUACACGACUCAUAUUGUAAACUCUCCCUAGAAGUUGACUACACACUUAUUUGGUAAAUUACAAUAGUAAAAGAAAAAGAACACAAAAUAUGCACCUAGCCCAAAGUUGGAUGAGAUUUACUUUUGUGAAUAUUAACAUUAACACUAUGUUUGGUUCAUAGAACAUUUGAGAGAAAGAAAAUAGGUAAGAAUCGAAAUAAAAAAAAAAGAAAAAGUUAAGAAAAAUAAAAAAUAAAGUUGAAGUCGAUAAAUUAUUUUUAUUUACUACUAUAAACUCAUUUUAUUUAUUUUAACUCAUCAGUAUAAGGAUUAAAUAAUUUAAAUUUUAAAAAUGUAUAAAUUUUUAAUUAAUUUUAAUUAUAUUUAAUUUUCUUGAAAAUUGUUUCUAGAACAAUCAAAUAUAAGAAAAUCAUUUUUUUAAAUAUUUUUUUUAAUACUUUUCGUGCACCAAAUAUAACUUAAAAGUAUUUUUAUUUUUUAUAUAAAAUAUCACUAUCCUAUUAUUAAACAAAUCAAGGGUCUGUUUAAAAAUAAAUUAUUUUCCAUGGGUAUAAAUAUCUCAAAAAGAUAAUAAAAAAGCCACAUUUAAUUUACUAAUAUAAAAAAGUCCACACCUGAUAAAUCUUUUCCACCUCAUGUCUAGGCAGAUAGAAGGGAGAAAGAGACCAAAAAGACAAACUAGCUUUCUGUGGCGGUUGAGUGUUUUGACCGUUGUAGAUGUAAUUCUAUCUCAAUUUAAUCCAGGCAGCUUCUCACUUUCUUCCCCCAAAAAAUCCAUCAAUUACGCACUCCCUGACACCGUGAUCCAUGCUUUCUUCUUCUCAUCUUCAACUUCAAAACUUCCAAGUUUCCAAUCCUUUUAUGCGUCUCAUAAAGCUAUAUAUAGACUCACAAAUUGUUAUUCACAACACUCCAAGCAUCCAAGUUCUUGCGGUAAGCAGCCAUGAUUAACUGCAGCAUAUAUGAACGCAUAUUCAAGCGCUUUGAUGAAGAUGGUGAUGGGAAACUCUCUCCUUCGGAGCUUCGAAGUUGCGUGGGGACGAUAGGGGAGGAGCUGCUGAUGGAGGAGGCGCAGGAGGUGGUGGAGUCGAUGGACUCAGACGGGGAUGGGUUGGUGGGUUUGGAGGAAUUUGUGGGGUGCAUGGAGAGAGAGGGCGAAAAGAGAAAGAUGGAGGAGUUGAGAGAGGCUUUUAGGAUGUAUGAGAUGGAAGGGAGUGGGUGUAUUACUCCAAAGAGCUUGAAGAGGAUGCUGAGUAGAUUGGGGGAGUCGAGAAGCGUGGAGGAGUGCAGUGUUAUGAUCAGGCAGUUUGAUGUUAAUGGCGAUGGGGUUAUGAGCUUUUAUGAGUUCAAGCUCAUGAUGCUUUAAUAUUGUUUGAUACCUUCCACAUGAAUUUUAUAUUCUUUUUAGAUUUAUAAAGAGUGAUUUGUAUUCAAGAUUCUUUCUACAUAAGGGUCUCCAACGGGCCGGGCCGGGCCGUCCGGCUCGGAGGAGUAAGACCCAUGGCCCAGCUCGAGGCGGGCCACUGAGUCAACGGGCCAGGCCGGGCCGGGCCCUUGGUAUAUCUAAGGCCCGUGGCCCAGCCUGUGGGCCCUCAAGCUGGGCGGGCCGACUGGGGAAAAAAUUAAAAUAGUUUUUAGUUUUGAAGGGAAGAGGUUCGAAAUCCCCUUCCCUUAUGGAUCCAUAAGGGAGCUAGCCACCAACUGAGCUAGUCCUCUUUUGUGUAACUAUUUUGCAUUAGUUAUAUAUAUAUAUAUUAGAAAUGUUGUAUGAUUUUUGAAAAAAUAUAAAAGUGAGUUGGCUGUUCAACGGUCACAUGACUCACAUGACCGUUGAACAUGUCUGCCACUCAAUUCAAUAUUAUGACCGUUGAACGAUCUUGAUUAAAAAAAAAAGAAAUAAUAAAUCCUAAUAUUUAAAUCUCUAUAAAUAUUAAAUACCCUCAAUUUUUUUCUAUUCUCUCAACUCUUAAGCUCUCUCCCAUUCCACAAUAUUUCCGAUUAUUGCAUUUUAUCUCAAAUUAUUCAAUAUUAUUGAUGGUGAAAAACAAGCAUUGGUGGUUCAAAAAGUUCAAAUUUGAAGGAAUUUCUGCUUCGGUUCUCUAAUUUAGUAACAUACUUCACCUUUACUUUUAUUUAUUUGUUACAUUUUAAUUUUACAUUUAUUAUUUUUAGCAUAAUAUUUUAUCAAUAAUUAUAAUUAUGGCAAGUGGUUCUUGUUCUUCAUCUAAUACAUGUGAUAGCAAAAAAUUUACAUCAAAUAUAUGGAAUUUUUUUGAUAGAAUAGAAAUAAAUUUAGAAAAUAAUAAAAAAGAAAUAAAAGCAAAAUGUAAAAUUUGUAACAAACUUCUUAGUGGUGGCUCAAAUGCAGGUACAAGUCAUUUAAAAAGGCAUCAUGAAAAUUGUAAAACUAAAAAUAAUGUAGAUAUUAGAAAUUAUAUGCAAUUAGGUAAAGAUGAAAGUGGAAAUUUAAAAACAUUUUCUUAUGAUGAAUCUUAUUGUUGUGAAGAAAUGAUUGGUUAUAUAAUAAGAGCAGAACAACCUUUCAAUUUCAUGGAAACUCAUGAUUUUACGGGAACAAUGCAACGAGCUGUUAAUCCUCAGUUUUAAGGUUGCUCUGGAAAUACAGUUAAAAGAAUUCUUAUAAAAAAUUUUGAAACACAAAAAGAAAAUUAAAAAUUUUUUUUUGCAAAUUUUGAAGAAAGAAUUUGUUUAACAUCUGAUAUUUGGACAUCUUUAACUCAUAGUGGUUUUUUUAUAUAUAACUGCUCAUUAUAUUGAUAAUGAAUGAAAAUUAAAUAAAAGAAUUAUUUCAUUUAAAAUAAUAAAUGCUCCAUAUAAUGGUAAAAAUAUAGCAUCUUUAAUAAAUGAUGAAAUUAUAGAUUUUGGCAUUCGUGAUAAAAUAUUUACAAUAACAUUAGAUAAUGCUUCUAAUAAUGAUGCAGCAGUAUCUAGAUUAAAACGAUAUUGGCAAAUAAAAGAAGAUCAAUGUAAAAUAUUUCAUGUGCGUUGUUGUGCACAUAUUUUAAAUUUCAUUGUAAAAGAUGGAUUAAAACACGUUGAUGAUACAUUAUAAAAAAUUAGAGGCAUUGCUGCGGGUCUUAAUAGUUCUCAAGCAAAACAUGAAUUAUUUUUUUAUUGUUGCAAAAUGUUAAAUAUGAAAAAAAGAAAUAUAAAUUUGGAUAUGCCCACUAGAUGGAAUUCCACUUAUAAACUUUUACAAACUAUUACAAAAUAUAGAAAAGUAGUAGAACUAUAUGAAAUACAAUUAAUUAACAAUGAUUGUGAAACAAAUAUUGAUGUAUUAAAUGAUUAUUAUUGGCAUAUUGCAGAUCUUUUAAGAGAUCUUUUUGAAGUAUUUGAUACUUCAACAAAAAAUUUUUGUGGUGUAUAUUAUCCAUCUUCAAACCGAGUUGUCAUGCAAAUAACUAAUAUUUUUAUUGUACUUCAAAAAUAUUUAAAUUUGGAUAUAUUUAAUGAUGCAAUAUUUGCAAUGAUAGAAAAAUUUAGAAAAUAUUGGGGAGAAAUACCUUUAAUUUUUUAUCUUGGUUUUGUGGACCCUAGAUUGAAAUUUGAAACUUUGGAUGAAUGGUUAACAAUUAUUUAUUUUAAUGACCAAAUAAAAAUUGAAGAAAUUAAAAAUGAAAUAAAUUCAUUAUUAUAUAAUUUAUAUAACUAUUAUAAAGAAAAAUAUGGUGAUGAUAUUAGUUCUAUUAAAUUACCACCUAUAUCUACAAGUUCUUCAUCUUUUUAUAAAGGAGCUCUAGAAAUGUUAAAAAGUUGAAAGAAGAUAACAAAUAGUUCUCCAAACAACACAACUGAUUUAGAUAGAUAUCUUAAUAUUGAUUUAAUUUCAUUUGAAGAUGAUGAAGAUUUUGAUAUUUUAAUAUGGUGGAAAUCACAACAACACAAAUAUCCUGUGCUUUCUAUCAUUGCUCGUGAUGUACUAACAGUUCUUGUGAGUACAGUUGCAUCAGAAGCUGCUUUUAGUGUAGGUGGAAGAGUAGUUAGUGAUAAACGAUGCAACUUAGCGCCGGAUUCUAUUGAAGCAAAUAUAUGUGUGAAAGACUGGACAAUAGUAGAUAAAAGGAUAUUUGAUUCUAUUCAAGAAGAAAAUAUGCUUGUCGAUAUGGAAAAACUAAAAUCAUCAAGAUCUUCAUGGAUUUGCGAUAGUUCGCCAACACCGCCAAGAGAUAAUGAUUAAAAUAUUUUACUAAAUGUAUGUCAUAUUUUUAUUUUUAUUUUUGUAGUUGAAAAGUACAAAUGAUUGACAAAUAAGUAGGUGCCAACCUAGUUGGGAUGUAUUUAUUUUGUAGUGAUGUAAACUUUUCCCACAUUUUCAAAUGUAACGUAUACAUUCAAUGAAUAAAAUAGUUAGCAAUGAAUAUUUUUAUUAAUGUAGUAUUUUCUAUUUCUUGAAUAUUUAUAUAUAUAUAUAUAUUUAAGUGGCGGGCCUACGGGCGGGCCAGCCCACCGGGCCUAAAUUGGAGCCCAUGGCUCGGUCCAUCCAAAAAUGGGCUCGAGCCGGGCCGGGCCUAGGCCAGGCCGCGGGCUUUUUAGAGACCCUUAUUUCCACAUAUACAGAGGAAUAUGAUUUUUUUUUCUUUCCACUCUAUAACAUUUAUAUAUAUAUAUAUAUAUAUAUAUAUGUUCUGUACAUGAUUGUUUGGGCCAAUUAAACUCUCAAGGGUGUGUGGAACCCUGCACUAGUCUUGUUAUAUACGGUAACUCAACUGACUUUAAAUGGAAGUUGGUGCUUUAACACAUAGCGUUAAUAUGUUUAGUAACUUAAAUUAAUUUAUUAAACAAUUCUAUAUCUUUUUAAUAUGCCAACCAAGGGAAUUAUAGCAUUUUUCUCAUUCAUGCUAAGGAAUUAGUGAAAGUAUGGAUUGUGAAGUUAACAUAUAACAACUCGCGCUUAACUGUAUAGAUAUUAUCCUCUCUAAGUCCUAAAGGGCCCUUACAGCUUUAAAAUGUAUCUACAUGAUUUAGAGAGAUCUAUACUUAUAUAGUAUCAUAAAUUUUCUCUCAUAUUCAAUAUGGGGUAUCAUAAACACCCUCUAUGCAAAUAUAACGUUCUCGUUGUAUUCCAUGAUAUUAUGGGGUAAAACAGAUAAACAAUCCUUAUAGGGCCAAAUAUACCCCCACACCAAGAUCGAUGAUUAGUUCUAAUAUCACUUAUAACGACAUGUAUCUAACCAUGUAGAUAUUUUUCGCUCUAGAAAUUGGAUAUGAGAGAAAGUUUAUGACGUUAUAUAUGUAGAGGUUCCUCUUAAUUCUAUAAACGCAUUUUAAAAUUGUGAAGACCCCUUUGGAUUCAGAGUUGAUAAUAUCUACACAGUUGGAUGAGGUUCGUUAUCUAACAUCUUAUUUUGUUAAUUAAUUUCCAACUAAUUGUCACUAUGUUCAAUGAAUCCCUUCAUCUAUAAAGAAAAGAAAAGGGGGUUGAGUUGGGAGCCUACAAUUUCUCUUAUUGUGGAUGUUUUCUGAAUGCAUUAUUGAGUAGUCAUAGAAGUGCCUUCUUAACUGUCAAUAAAAUUACAUUUGAUCUCAUUGUAACCAUAUCGAGAAGUCGAUACAUGACUCAUAUUGUAAACUCUCUCUAGAAGUUGACUACAAACUUAUUUGGUAAAUUACAAUAGUAAAAGAAAAAGAACACAAAAUAUGCACCUAGCCAAAGUUGGAUGAGAUUUACUUUUGUGAAUAUUAACAUUAAGGCUAUGUUUGGUUCGUAGAAAAUUUGAGAGAAAGAAAAUAGAUAAGAAAAUAAAUAAGAAAAAAAAAGUGAAGAAAAAUAAAAAAAAUAGAGUUGAAAUUGAUAAAUUAUAUUUAUUUACUACUUUAAAUUCAUUUUAUUUAUUUUAACUCAUCAUUAUAAAGAUUAAAAAAUUUAAAAUUUAAAAAUAUAUAAGUUCUUAAUUAAUUUUAAUUAUAUUUAAUUUUCUUGAAAAUUCUUUCUAGAACAAUCAAAUAUAAGAAAAUUAUUUUUCUUGAUAUUUUUUUCUUUUCUUAAUACUUUUCGUGCACCAAAUAUAACUUAAAAGUAUUUUUAUUUUUUAUAUAAAAUAUCACAUAUAAUUUUAUAAAAUCUAUCCUAUUAUUAAACAAAUCAAGGGUCUGUUUAAAAAUAAAUAAAUAAAUAAUUUUCCAUGGGUGUAAAUAUCUCAAAAAGAUAAUAAAAAAGCCACAUUUAAUUUACUAAUAUAAAAAAGUCCACACCUGAUAAAUCUUUUCCACCUCAUGUCUAGGCAGAUAGAAGGGAGAAAGAGACCAAAAAGACCAACUAGCUUUCUGUGGCGGUUGAGUGUUUUGACCGUUGUAGAUGUAAUUCUAUCUCAAUUUAAUCCAGGCAGCUUCUCACUUUCUUCCCCCAAAAAAUCCAUCAAUUACGUACGCACUCCCUGACACCGUGAUCAAUGCUUUCUUCUUCUCAUCUUCAACUUCAAAACUUCCAAGUUCCAAUCCUUUUACGCGUCUCAUAAAGCUAUAUAUGGACUCACAAAUUGUUAUUCACAACACUCCAAGAAUCCAAGUUCUUGCGGUAAGCAGCCAUGAUUAACUGCAGCAUAUAUGAACGCAUAUUCAAGCGCUUUGAUGAAGAUGGUGAUGGGAAACUCUCUCCUUCGGAGCUUCGACGUUGCGUGGGGACGAUAGGGGAGGAGCUACUGAUGGAGGAGGCGCAGGAGGUGGUGGAGUCGAUGGACUCAGACGGGGAUGGGUUG